AACGAACGCUGGCGGCAUGCCUAACACAUGCAAGUCGAACGAUGCCUUCGGGCUUAGUUGCGCACGGGUACGUACCGAGUGGGAAGCAGCCUUUCAGUUCGGAGUCACUGAGGGAGACUUGAGUUAAUACAGGAUAACGUCGUAAGACAAACGAUGUAUCACCGCAAGAUGAGGCCGCGUAGGAUUAGCUAGUUGGUGAGGUAAAGGCGACCCAACGCGACGAUCCUUAGCUGGUCUGAGAGGAUGAGCAGCCACACUGGGACUGAGACACGGCCCAGACUCCUACGGGAGGCAGCAGUGGGGAAUAUUGGACAAUGGGCGAAAGCCUGAUCCAGCAAUGCCGCGUGAGUGAUGAAGGCCUUAGGGUUGUAAAGCUCUUUUACCCGGGAAGAUAAUGACGGUACCGGGAGAAUAAGCCCCGGCUAACUCCGUG
rnacentral:rRNA from 1 species